GCUCAAACGGCCCAAACCGUCCAAAACCUCCCCCAAAGCCCCAAUGCUCCGUCGCAUCGCCGCGUUCCGGCCGCCGCCGUCACGCGCGGCGGCGGUGGCAUCCGUCGGCGGGGCCAACGCCGGCUACUCCUCCAAGUCCACCUCCCUCCCCCAGAAGCAGAAGCGCGUGCGCGACCACGCCUUCGACGGCAUCAUGGAGGUCCAGAAGCGAGUCCGCCGCUUCCUCGCGCUCCACGCCCUGCUCCUCUACGCCGCCUCCCCCACCGCGCCCUCGGGCGCCUUCUCCGCCGGCGGGAGCGGCGCGGUCUCCGUGUCCUUCUCCCGCCUCGGGGCCCUCGCGCGCCGCCAGCUCCGCCUCUCGCCCCUCGACGCCGGCCAAUUCAUGCUGCGCCACCCGCACGCCUUCCACCUCUUCCUCCACCCCGUCCACCGCAUCCUCCACGUGCGCCUCACCCCGCGCGCCGCCGCCGCGUUGCGCCUCGAGGCCGACGCCAUCACCGCCUCGCGCCCCGACGCCAUCCUCCGCCUCCGCAAGCUCCUCCUCCUCGCGCCCCCUCACCACCGCCUCCGCCUCGAGAACAUCCACCUCCUGCGCCGCGACCUCGGCCUCCCCGACGAUUUCGCCGACUCCGUCAUCCAAUCCAACCCCGCCCUCUUCCGCCUCGCUCCUGACGGGUUCGUCGAGCUUGUGCCCUCCCCCGACGACCCACCCGACCUCACCGUCGCCGCCGUCGAGCGCUCCCGGGAGCGCCACUACCGCGAGCACCGCUCUCCCGGGGAUGGUGAGGAGGACGCGCGCUUCGCGUUCCCCACCCGCUUUCCGCCGGGCUUCAAGAUCGGCAAGUACUUCCGGAUUGCAGUUUGGAAAUGGCAGCGGCUCCCAUACGCGUCUCCGUACGCGGACGUCUCUGGCCACGACCUGCGCUCGCUCGAGGCACAGCGGCGCAUGGAGAAGCGUGCUGUCGCGGCCGUCCAUGAGCUGCUCUCUCUCACGGUUGAGAGGCGCACCACGCUGGAGCGUCUCGCGCUGUUCCGCGACGCCCUUGGUGUGCCCAAGAAGAUCAAGGAGUUCUUGCUUAAGUACCAGGGCAUAUUUUACAUAUCCACAAGGGGAAACCAGGGGAAGCUGCACACUGUGUUCCUCAGGGAGGCAUACUACAAAGGGGAGCUUCUGGAUUCCAAUGAGAUACAUGACGCAAGGAGGAAACAGGAGGAGCUGCUCUUGAUGAGCCCUGAGAAGGCGAAUUUGGAUCGCAUGUUCACCAGCAUGGGUCGUGGAUGGGAUGAGCUUGGUGGUGGUCGCCGUGGUGGAGCAGAAUUGAGGGAGAAGUUUCUCGGGGAUGCUGGUGGCCGAAAGAGAAAAAUUGGUGGUCAUGAUGAUGAUGAUGAUGAUGAUGGUGCCGAUAGCGGGGAGGACUCAGGAGUCGAGUCACUCUACAUCGAAUGAGGAAUCAAAUCAUACUUUGGCACUGAAUGUUUUCUUGGGAAUGGGAAGCUUUGCUUCUGAAACUGGCGAGGGUACUGUCUGGGAGGAUUGAUUUUUCGUGCUAGCGUCAACACCGUUGCGUACUGAUCUUGAGGAGAGAAAGCUAAUAUUCUGAGGUGAAAAUUGGAGUGGGGUAUCAUGCUAAAACUGAUGACACUUCUGACUUGAUAAAGUGAUCACCCUGGGUGCUACCAGUACCAUGCAUCUGCAUCAAAUGGCUGUUGGCAUCUUCAGUUGCACCAAUUGUGCGAAGGGACUAGGGGAAGAGAAUCCCUUUCUGCUCCCAAGCUAAUCUGAUCUGUGUGUUCUGACUUGCACAAUGGAUAUGCAUCCAGUUACCCCAGGUCUGCAGACCAGACGUGCGGUCAGCAGUCAAGAGCUUAGUUAUCUUCAGACGAGGAACUUACCCUUCAGGAAUGUUUGGCAUUAUACCGCGAAUCAGUUGAGUUGUGCAAUAUUAUUUAACUUAGAGCCAUAAAAAAUGUAAAGUUUUAUCCCAUAUUCUAAAAUGUUCUGUGUUAACUUUAUUUUUAGCUGCCAGUGACUCAGUUGAAUUUUGCAGCCCCCUUCGCUUCAAAGAUGCCUUUGUUAUAAGAUAGACACAAAACAGAUAAAUAGUUGAAUUUAUAAAAAAAAUCUAAAUUGAAGUAUUUUGCACUCUAUGGAUGUAUUACUUUGUAUAUUUAGCUGAGCAUCUCGAGAAUGGAAUUUGGUGCUCUUAGUAAUUUUCAUGAACUAAUUUUGUACUAGACCUGAAUGGUAGCUCGGUUGAACAAAGCCUACCAAGUUACUUGAGCUUGUUUGAAAGAGUAAACUUCGUGAUAUACCAAUGACAUGAUUGAAAGUUGAAACUUAUUUUUGGGGCAAAU